rnacentral:rRNA from 1 species
ACGAACGCUGGCGGCGUGCCUAAUACAUGCAAGUCGAACGCUUCUUUUUCCACCGGAGCUUGCUCCACCGGAAAAAGAGGAGUGGCGAACGGGUGAGUAACACGUGGGUAACCUGCCCAUCAGAAGGGGAUAACACUUGGAAACAGGUGCUAAUACCGUAUAACAAUCGAAACCGCAUGGUUUUGAUUUGAAAGGCGCUUUCGGGUGUCGCUGAUGGAUGGACCCGCGGUGCAUUAGCUAGUUGGUGAGGUAACGGCUCACCAAGGCGACGAUGCAUAGCCGACCUGAGAGGGUGAUCGGCCACAUUGGGACUGAGACACGGCCCAAACUCCUACGGGAGGCAGCAGUAGGGAAUCUUCGGCAAUGGACGAAAGUCUGACCGAGCAACGCCGCGUGAGUGAAGAAGGUUUUCGGAUCGUAAAACUCUGUUGUUAGAGAAGAACAAGGAUGAGAGUAACUGUUCAUCCCUUGACGGUAUCUAACCAGAAAGCCACGGCUAACUACGUGCCAGCAGCCGCGGUAAUACGUAGGUGGCAAGCGUUGUCCGGAUUUAUUGGGCGUAAAGCGAGCGCAGGCGGUUUCUUAAGUCUGAUGUGAAAGCCCCCGGCUCAACCGGGGAGGGUCAUUGGAAACUGGGAGACUUGAGUGCAGAAGAGGAGAGUGGAAUUCCAUGUGUAGCGGUGAAAUGCGUAGAUAUAUGGAGGAACACCAGUGGCGAAGGCGGCUCUCUGGUCUGUAACUGACGCUGAGGCUCGAAAGCGUGGGGCGCAAACAGGAUUAGAUACUCUGGUAGUCCACGCCGUAAACGAUGAGUGCUAAGUGUUGGAGGGUUUCCGCCCUUCAGUGCUGCAGCUAACGCAUUAAGCACUCCGCCUGGGGAGUACGACCGCAAGGUUGAAACUCAAAGGAAUUGACGGGGGCCCGCACAAGCGGUGGAGCAUGUGGUUUAAUUCGAAGCAACGCGAAGAACCUUACCAGGUCUUGACAUCCUUUGACCACUCUAGAGAUAGAGCUUCCCCUUCGGGGGCAAAGUGACAGGUGGUGCAUGGUUGUCGUCAGCUCGUGUCGUGAGAUGUUGGGUUAAGUCCCGCAACGAGCGCAACCCUUAUUGUUAGUUGCCAUCAUUUAGUUGGGCACUCUAGCAAGACUGCCGGUGACAAACCGGAGGAAGGUGGGGAUGACGUCAAAUCAUCAUGCCCCUUAUGACCUGGGCUACACACGUGCUACAAUGGGAAGUACAACGAGUCGCAAAGUCGCGAGGCUAAGCUAAUCUCUUAAAGCUUCUCUCAGUUCGGAUUGUAGGCUGCAACUCGCCUACAUGAAGCCGGAAUCGCUAGUAAUCGCGGAUCAGCACGCCGCGGUGAAUACGUUCCCGGGCCUUGUACACACCGCCCGUCACACCACGAGAGUUUGUAACACCCGAAGUCGGUGAGGUAACCUUUUGGAGCCAGCCGCCUAAGGUGGGAUAGAUGAUUGGGGUG